ACUCAAAUGAAUUGACGGGGGCCCGCACAAGCGGUGGAGCAUGUGGUUUAAUUCGAUGCAACGCGAAGAACCUUACCUACCCUUGACAUCCUACGAAGACUGCAGAGAUGCGGUUGUGCCGAAAGGAACGUAGAGACAGGUGCUGCAUGGCUGUCGUCAGCUCGUGUUGUGAGAUGUUGGGUUAAGUCCCGUAACGAGCGCAACCCUUAUCCUUAGUUACCAACAUGUAAUGGUGGGGACUCUAAGGAGACUGCUGGUGAUGAACCGGAGGAAGGCGGGGACGACGUCAAGUCAUCAUGGCCUUUAUGGGUAGGGCUACACACGUGCUACAAUGGUCAGUACAGAGGGCAGCGAACCCGCGAGGGGGAGCCAAUCCCGGAAAGCUGAUCGUAGUCCGGAUCGGAGUCUGCAACUCGACUCCGUGAAGUCGGAAUCGCUAGUAAUCGCGAAUCAGAAUGUCGCGGUGAAUACGUUCCCGGGCCUUGUACACACCGCCCGU
rnacentral:rRNA from 1 species